UACAGAGGUCUCGAGCGUUGUUCGGAUUUACUGGGCGUAAAGGGAGCGUAGGCGGUUCAGUAUGUCGAAUGUGAAAUCCCACGACUCAACCGUGGAAUGGCAUUCGAAACUGCUGGGCUAGAGUACUGGAGAGGAGAGCGGAAUUCUUGGUGUAGCGGUGAAAUGCGUAGAUAUCAAGAGGAACACCGGUGGCGAAGGCGGCUCUCUGGACAGAUACUGACGCUGAGGCUCUAAAGUUAGGGGAGCAAACAGGAUUAGA
rnacentral:rRNA from 1 species